GGAUUCGUGGUGUAGUUGGUUAUCACGUCAGUCUAUCACACUGAAAGUCCCCAGUUCCAUCCUGGGCGAAGCCA